rnacentral:rRNA from 1 species
CCUACGGGGGGCAGCAGUGGGGAAUUUUGCGCAAUGGGGGAAACCCUGACGCAGCGACGCCGCGUGAAGGAUGAAGGUCUUCGGAUUGUAAACUUCUUUUGUCGGGGAAGAUAAUGACGGUACCCGAUGAAUAAGCCACGGCUAACUCUGUGCCAGCAGCCGCGGUAAGACAGAGGUGGCAAGCGUUGUUCGGAAUUACUGGGCUUAAAGGGCGCGUAGGCGGUGGAGUAAGUCUGAGGUGGAAGGUUAGGGCUUAACCCUGAAAUUGCCUUGGAAACUGCAUCACUUGAGUCAGCGAGGGGAUGGCGGAAUUCCCGGUGUAGCGGUGAAAUGCGUAGAUAUCGGGAGGAAGGCCGGUGGCGAAGGCGGCCAUCUGGCGCUGAACUGACGCUGAGGCGCGAAAGCGUGGGGAGCAAACAGGAUUAGAUACCCCUGUAGUC